rnacentral:lncRNA from 1 species
AAAUUACAUCAAAAUCCCCCGUGUCUAAUUUUAUUAGGUCUACACUCAGUUUUCUAUUUGCUAUCUCUACGGCACAAGCCCUGUAGGCAACUUCUCCCAAUAGUGUUAUACUCCCAGCAGUAGACACAAACAACAUAGAAUCAAGUUUAUCAGGUAAUACAUUAAAUUUUGAUGCAAAAAUAGGAGAAAUAAAUGAAUGCGAUGCACCAGUGUCAAUCAAAACAUGAGCAAGAUGGUUACAGAUAAUGUGCAUACCCUGUACCACGUCCGGGUUAACUUGGGCAUCCUGCUGGGUGAGGUUGUAAGCUCUGCCCUGAAUAAGAGGUUUGUCCUGAUUCUAGUUCCUUGGGCACUCUCUCACAUAAUGUUGGGCACUACCACAUAUACGAUAGGUGUUGUUGAGGCGGUAGCAGGGUCGGUCCCCGUGAUCCCUGCCGCAAUGCUGACAGAUCUUACCACGUCCUACCACUAGAGCUUGAGAGAGAGCCUGGAUCACCAGCCUGGGCCUCUUGUUCUGUUGGACAGACACAGUAGGUGUUGAUAUGCGAGGUGGAGCUGAGGGUCUGAGGUUCCCUGCUGCCUGACGGAGGGUGUGGAAGCUCCUCUCCACCAGCUGUGCCUUCGCCAUAACGACUGGAUAGUUCUUGAGCUCAAACACGAAUAAAUGCUACCUGAUCUCUGGGCGAAGGCCCCACUGGAAUCUCUUAGCCUUCCUGCCCUCAUCCAACAGCGUCUCAGGGGAGUAUCGGCCCAACUCCAAGAACUUACGAGUAUAUUCUAACACAGUCAUGUUCCCCUGGACCAAGUGGAUGAAC